GUGGAUAUAACUCAAUGGUAGAGUAACUGUAUGUGGCACAGUUUGUUCUCUGUUCGAAUCAGAGUAUUCUCC